rnacentral:rRNA from 1 species
CCUACGGGAGGCAGCAGUGAGGAAUAUUGGUCAAUGGUCGGGAGACUGAACCAGCCAAGCCGCGUGAGGGAUGAAGGUACAGAGUAUCGUAAACCUCUUUUGUCAGGGAACAAAGGCGGGGACGCGUCCCCGGAUGAGUGUACCUGAAGAAAAAGCAUCGGCUAACUCCGUGCCAGCAGCCGCGGUAAUACGGAGGAUCCGAGCGUUAUCCGGAUUUAUUGGGUUUAAAGGGUGCGCAGGCGGUCUGUUAAGUCAGCGGUGAAAGCCAGGGGCUCAACCCCGGGCCCGCCGUUGAACCUGGCAGUCUCGAGUUGGAGAGAGGCAUGCGGAAUGCGCGGUGUAGCGGUGAAAUGCAUAGAUAUCGCGCAGAACUCCGAUUGCGAAGGCAGCAUGCCGGCUCCACACUGACGCUGAGGCACGAAAGCGUGGGUAUCGAACAGGAUUAGAUACCCGUGUAGUC